rnacentral:lncRNA from 1 species
CCAGCGGCAGGCAGGCUCACGCCGAGCCACUGCACCCGGGCUCCGCCAAGGCCCCAAGUGGGAGCGGCACUGCCGGAGGGAGGAGGACCCGGAGCCCCGCGAGCCCCGGCCGCCGCUUCCGCGCAGCCCCGGGCGCGCACCGCCCACCGCGAGCCCCGGCCCUCUGCGCCGGUCCAACCUUUGCCCCCAAAAUCUGCUGCCUGAGCGGCCGCCGCCGGACCUGUCCGCACCUGUCACCAGCCGGCGACACCAGCCCACCGCUCCCGCCCAGCUCUCCGCCAGCCUCGGGCCCCCGCGGGCCCCGCGACCCCGUUCCCUACCAGGUGUCCCCUUUCCGGAGCGAGGUUUUGAGCAGCGUCGCGAUGUCAGAACGCUGGGUGUCCAGGUCCGCCGCUCCGCCUUCCGCCAUCUUCUUCCACUAGCCGUAGCGGAGGCGGCGGCGACGGCGGCGGCACGCCCCGGAGCAUUGUGGGAAUGGCGUCCCCGGCCCCGCCCCGCCGGCAGGUGAGUUGAGUGUGUGCCUGUGACAGCCUACUGUGGAGAUCACAAGUCAACGUUGCAGGCGUCAGCUCUCUCUACUAUGAGGGUCUCAGGGGAUCAGACUUGGGAAGGAUCCCAUGCGUCCCAGGUUGUCAGUGCAACAGAAGAUGACUUUGAACUUAUCUGAUCUGUCUGCUUCCGCCUCCCCAGUUCUGGGAUGUUUCUGCAGCACUGGGCAUCAAGCCCAGGGUUUCGUGCUUGCUAUGUAAGCACUCUUCUGCCUGAGUCCUAUCUCUAGACCCCAUUAAGGAUUUUUUUUUCUAAAAAAAAAAAAAUGAAGAUUAAAUGAAACAAUAUGAGUUUGUUGCCUGGAACUUAAUAGCCAAUCAACAAAUGUUAGUAGGAAGAAUUGGACUGAUAUCAGGAUAAAUUGUAUAGUAUGUGUGUUAUAUCUCAAUAAAGCUAUUCUUAACAAAGCAUUCAGGA